GACGAACGCUGGCGGCGUGCUUAACACAUGCAAGUCGAACGGAAAGGCCCUGCUUUUGUGGGGUGCUCGAGUGGCGAACGGGUGAGUAACACGUGAGUAACCUGCCCUUGACUUUGGGAUAACUUCAGGAAACUGGGGCUAAUACCGGAUAGGAGCUCCUGCUGCAUGGUGGGGGUUGGAAAGUUUCGGCGGUUGGGGAUGGACUCGCGGCUUAUCAGCUUGUUGGUGGGGUAGUGGCUUACCAAGGCUUUGACGGGUAGCCGGCCUGAGAGGGUGACCGGCCACAUUGGGACUGAGAUACGGCCCAGACUCCUACGGGAGGCAGCAGUGGGGAAUAUUGCACAAGGGGCGGAAGCCGGAUGCAGCAACGCCGCGUGGGGGAUGACGGCCUUCGGGUUGUAAACCGCUUUCGCCUGUGACGAAGCGUGAGUGACGGUAAUGGGUAAAGAAGCACCGGCUAACUACGU
rnacentral:rRNA from 1 species